UCUUGGUUCAGUGAUUACUGAUUUGCAAAGACACUCUGCGAUUGCGCUGCUGCCUGCUGUUUUCAACUACUACACCCAGUCUGGCAUCCACCUGGAGCUCCAGGGGGAUAUUUGCUCAUCACUACCCAAUUUCUCUCUGUGUAGCUUAUAUGCUGGAAGCAACGAACUCAGAGCAUAGACGCCAAACUAGGCAGUUCAUGACAACAGUCUUCUUAACAACGCAUAAGGCAGU